rnacentral:rRNA from 1 species
GGUGGCAAGCGUUGUCCGGAUUUAUUGGGCGUAAAGCGAGCGCAGGCGGUUCUUUAAGUCUGAUGUGAAAGCCCCCGGCUCAACCGGGGAGGGUCAUUGGAAACUGGAGAACUUGAGUGCAGAAGAGGAGAGUGGAAUUCCAUGUGUAGCGGUGAAAUGCGUAGAUAUAUGGAGGAACACCAGUGGCGAAGGCGACUCUCUGGUCUGUAACUGACGCUGAGGCUCGAAAGCGUGGGGAGCAAACAGGAUUAGAUACCCUGGUAGUCCACGCCGUAAACGAUGAGUGCUAAGUGUUGGAGGGUUUCCGCCCUUCAGUGCUGCAGCUAACGCAUUAAGCACUCCGCCUGGGGAGUACGACCGCAAGGUUGAAACUCAAAGGAAUUGGCGGGGGAGCACGGGGCGGGGGCGGCGGGCCGGGCGCGGGGCGCGGCGGGCG